UGCUUGCCAUGCAGGUCGUGUAGACAUUACCAUCAUGCUGGUGCAAUCUGGAGCCGUGGUGGAUGCAGUGGCAAUGAAUGGAGCAACUCCACUCAUGAGAGCUAUUGAAAGCUGUCAAUUCAGCUGUGUAGAGUAUCUCAUCAAAGCUGGAGCCAAUGUCGUGGCAAAAACAAGAGAGAGCAAAAUUGCUUGGAUAUCGCUAUAAAUUAUGGCAAUGUGAGAAUCAUUGGCUUGUUCAUGGCCAAAUUCAACAGAAAGGACAAAGAAAGGAAACCAGAACCAACAUUAAAAACACCCUCUUCAGCACAAGAAAAGAUGGGUAUUCGGUCACCAGCACGAUCAGUUUCAGCAGCUGUGAAAAAAGACCUGAGAGACAGUAUCAUAGU